CAACGGGUAGCCGGGUUGAGAGACCGACCGGCCAGAUUGGGAUUGAGACACGGCCCAGACUCCUACGGGAGGCAGCAGUGGGGAAUCUUGCGCAAUGGGGGGAACCCUGACGCAGCGACGCCGCGUGCGGGACGGAGGCCUUCGGGUCGUAAACCGCUUUCAGCAGGGAAGAGUCAAGACUGUACCUGCAGAAGAAGCCCCGGCUAACUACGUGCCAGCAGCCGCGGUAAUACGUAGGGGGCGAGCGUUAUCCGGAUUCAUUGGGCGUAAAGCGCGCGUAGGCGGCCCGGCAGGCCGGGGGUCGAAGCGGGGGGCUCAACCCCCCGAAGCCCCCGGAACCUCCGCGGCUUGGGUCCGGUAGGGGAGGGUGGAACACCCGGUGUAGCGGUGGAAUGCGCAGAUAUCGGGUGGAACACCGGUGGCGAAGGCGGCCCUCUGGGCCGAGACCGACGCUGAGGCGCGAAAGCUGGGGGAG
rnacentral:rRNA from 1 species